UUUUUUGUUUAAAUGUUUUUUCGCUUAAGGAUGGGUCUGCGGCCGAUUAGGUAGUUGGUUAGGUAAUGGCUUACCAAGCCGUUGAUCGGUACGGGUUGCGAGAGCAAGAGCCCGGAGAUGGAACCUGAGACAAGGUUCCAGGCCCUACGGGGUGCAGCAGGCGCGAAACCUCCGCAAUGUGAGAAAUCGCGACGGGGGGAUCCCAAGUGCCAUUCUUAACGGGAUGGCUUUUCAUUAGUGUAAAGAGCUUUUGGAAUAAGGGCUGGGCAAGACCGGUGCCAGCCGCCGCGGUAACACCGGCAGCUCUAGUGGUAGCAGUUUUUAUUGGGCCUAAAGCGUCCGUAGCCGGUUUAAUAAGUCUCUGGUGAAAUCCUGUAGCUUAACUGUGGGAAUUGCUGGAGAUACUAUUAGACUUGAGACCGGGAGAGGUUAGAGGUACUCCCAGGGUAGAGGUGAAAUUCUGUAAUCCUGGGAGGACCGCCUGUUGCGAAGGCGUCUAACUGGAACGGUUCUGACGGUGAGGGACGAAAGUUAGGGGCGCGAACCGGAUUAGAUACCCGGGUAGUCCUAACCGUAAACGAUGCGGACUUGGUGUUGGGGUGGCUUUGAGCUGCUCCAGUGCCGAAGGGAAGCUGUUAAGUCCGCCGCCUGGGAAGUACGGUCGCAAGACUGAAACUUAA
rnacentral:rRNA from 1 species